rnacentral:rRNA from 1 species
GACGAACGCUGGCGGCGUGCUUAACACAUGCAAGUCGAACGGAAAGGCCCUGCUUUUGUGGGGUGCUCGAGUGGCGAACGGGUGAGUAACACGUGAGUAACCUGCCCUUGACUUUGGGAUAACUUCAGGAAACUGGGGCUAAUACCGGAUAGGAGCUCCUGCUGCAUGGUGGGGGUUGGAAAGUUUCGGCGGUUGGGGAUGGACUCGCGGCUUAUCAGCUUGUUGGUGGGGUAGUGGCUUACCAAGGCUUUGACGGGUAGCCGGCCUGGGAGGGUGACCGGCCACAUUGGGACGGGGAUACGGCCCAGACGCCUACGGGAGGCAGCAGUGGGGAAUAUUGCACAAUGGGCGGAAGCCUGAUGCAGCAACGCCGCGUGCGGGAUGACGGCCUUCGGGUUGUAAACCGCUUUCGCCUGUGACGAAGCGUGAGUGACGGUAAUGGGUAAAGAAGCACCGGCUAACUACGU